rnacentral:lncRNA from 1 species
AGCCUGCCUAGAGUCUGGAUUUUUUAAGCUGCUGGAUACCAGGUGCUACCUGACACCAGCUCAUCCCCUGCCUCUAGAGUCCUGGAGGGCUUUGAGUUGAUCACUUUCCACUCCAGGAAUGUUAUAAGAAACCGCUCAGAAAGGAACAAUUUUAAUGGUCGUGACUGGUUAUCUUCUCCCUCAUCUUACGCUGCAUUGUGUGUGUUGGGCCCAGAUCUACAAUUCAACUUCCUCAUGAGCGCAUGAGUCAGCAUUUCUUCAUGGCCUGUCAUUCUGUACUGUUUGCAAAAGUAUGAAAAAUAGAGACCAGCCCAUGGGAAUUUUGCUGGAGAGGUGAUUGCAAAUCUAUGGAUGAGACCAAGGGAGAAUUUUCACGCCAUCAUAGCAUUUUAUUCCUCACCUGACUGGGAGCAGCUCGAAGGGAAGGACAUGUCUCCAAAGACAUGAGGAGUAUUCAACGUGGCAUUCGAGGCGCAAGGAAAAACCUGCCUAUCCCAAGAUCUCAGCCCCAUCAGCCAGCCAAGGGAUCCACAAUGACCCUUAUGAAGUUUCAUAAGGAAGCUAAUUGCUUAAAUGAGAUUUGAGUCAAGAAGGAUGACCUAGCAAUAACCUCUAUAUAUCUCAUUAUGCCAAAACUUAAAUGGCUACAUAAGAGGACAGUCCAGUGACAGACAUGGAAAGAGGCUUAGAGGUCAUCUCAUUCAUCACACCAUUUUACAGAGGAAAGCAAAAUGCCAUCCAGAGAAGGAAAGUCACAAAGCCAUCUAACCCCAGACCUGGGAGUAGCAGCUGAUCACAGCGGGUCGGACACAAGAAGCUGCUUCCAAAAAUCUUUCCUUCCAUUUGUCCUACAGAGAAGACAUCAGAAAACAAAAUUUUAUAAGCAUGUCUCUAGCUCUAACUCACUAUUCAACUAAAGGACAAAUUAAAUAGGGAAUGAGAUAACCUUAACUUCAUGAGAUUUGUUCUUAUAUGCAGUUUUCUACCCUGAGAAACCAAUCUAUGCUAAAGAUAAUAUUUGUGCUUUUCAAUGAGGCUGGUAAAAUAUUUGCACUUUGAAGCUCAGAGCGAUAACAUUUAUUCAUUCGGGUGAAACUUAUCAGGAUUAGGUAAAUAUA